UUCCUUCCUAGUAACCUGGCUAAUAGCUCCACCAGUGUGCAAAAAGCCUCCCUUUUCUGAUGCGCCAGCCAUCUUCCCAAUCUCACUCCUCUUUUUAAAUUUUUCAUCAGUACUCCAAUGUUUCAGUAACAGAGCCCAUCGAUCCGGUAACAUAAACUUAGGCAUUCUAUCCAUCGAUCCGGUAACAUAAACGUAGGCAUUCUGUUUUUUCUAUGACAGUCACAAAAUGUGCUAGAAAGCAACUUUGAAGCUUUAAGCUUGAAGUUCACUUGAACGUCAUCCUCGUGUUCGGGAGCCCAUACAUAAUAUUUC
rnacentral:lncRNA from 1 species